ACUCCUCUCUCCAAGUUGGUUUCCUCGCUCUUCCCCGGCUUCCGGGCCCCCGGGCGACCCCCGGCCGGGCCCCCGCUGCUGUGUGUCCGCCGGCCGCGGCCGUCCACAGGUUGUGCCCGGCUCCUCCUCCCCGCAGCGCCCCGCCCAGCCCCGGUGGCGGGAAGCAGGUAAGCCCAUUCCUGCCCCUGCGCCCGCAACCCGCCCCAGGCGGGGUGCCUGCCCCACCCGCAGCCUGCAGACCCGAAGUAUAAAUAACCUUUGCAUCCCUCGCAAAGAGGAAAGGGUACCAAGCGAAAGAGGGGUAGGCCUUUCUGACCUGUCCUGGCCUCUCUGGGCCUGCCGCGGAUACUGCCUUGCACUCUCUUCCGCAGAGGACCUCUGGCCCCCUGGAACUAAACCCCCCACCACUGGAUGACUGGCUGGGAGCUUUGGCUUCCUGGGGCCACGGGCUGCUGUGUGGCCGUGGACAAGCCCCUGGAACUCCGGACUCGCUGUUUCUAAUGGUCUGAUGGGCCAGCUGUCCUGGGCCUGCCCAUU
rnacentral:lncRNA from 1 species